AGCUCCAAUAGCGUAUAUUAAAGUUGUUGCAGUUAAAAAGCUCGUAGUUGGAUUUCGGGGCGGCCUGGCUGGUCCGUCGCGAGGCGAGUACUGGUCAGCCGCCCUUCCUCUCGAAAGCCCCGACUGCUCUUCACUGCAGUGGUCGGGUAGUUCGGGACGUUUACUUUGAAAAAAUUAGAGUGUUCAAGGCAGGCGUUCGCCUGAAUACAUUAGCAUGGAAUAAUGGAAGAGGACCUCGGUCCUAUUUUGUUGGUUUCUGGGACCGAAGUAAUGAUUAAGAGGGACAGUUGGGGGCAUUCGUAUUUAAUUGUCAGAGGUGAAAUUCUCGGAUUUAUGAAAGACGAACAACUGCGAAAGCAUUUGCCAAGGAUGUUUUCAUUAAUCAAGAACGAAAGUACGC
rnacentral:rRNA from 1 species